UACGUAGGGGGCAAGCGUUAUCCGGAUUUAUUGGGUUUAAAGGGUGCGUAGGCGGCGAGUUAAGUCAGCGGUAAAAUGUCCGGGCUCAACCCGGGCCGGCCGUUGAAACUGGGGAUCUUGAGUGGGCGAGAAGUAUGCGGAAUGCGUGGUGUAGCGGUGAAAUGCAUAGAUAUCACGCAGAACUCCGAUUGCGAAGGCAGCGUACCGGCGCCCAACUGACGCUGAAGCACGAAGGCGUGGGUAUCGAACAGG
rnacentral:rRNA from 1 species